rnacentral:rRNA from 1 species
GACGAACGCUGGCGGCGUGCUUAACACAUGCAAGUCGAGCGGUAAGGCCCUUUCGGGGGUACGACGAGCGGCGAACGGGUGAGUAACACGUGGGUGACCUGCCCUCAGCUCUGGGAUAAGCCUGGGAAACCGGGUCUAAUACUGGAUAUGACUCCAUGACGCAUGUUGUGGGGUGGAAAGCCUUGUGCGGCUGAGGAUGGGCCCGCGGCCUAUCAGCUUGUUGGUGGGGUGANGGCCUACCAAGGCGACGACGGGUAGCCGGCCUGAGAGGGCGACCGGCCACACUGGGACUGAGACACGGCCCAGACUCCUACGGGAGGCAGCAGUGGGGAAUCUUGCGCAAUGGGCGAAAGCCUGACGCAGCGACGCCGCGUGAGGGAUGACGGCCUGG